rnacentral:rRNA from 1 species
UAGGGAAUCUUCGGCAAUGGGGGGAACCCUGACCGAGCAACGCCGCGUGAGUGAAGAAGGUUUUCGGAUCGUAAAGCUCUGUUGUUAAGGAAGAACGAGUGUGAGAAUGGAAAGUUCAUACUGUGACGGUACUUAACCAGAAAGGGACGGCUAACUACGUGCCAGCAGCCGCGGUAAUACGUAGGUCCCGAGCGUUGUCCGGAUUUAUUGGGCGUAAAGCGAGCGCAGGCGGUUAGAUAAGUCUAAAGUUAAAGGCAGUGGCUCAACCAUUGUAGGCUUUGAAAACUGUGUAAGUUGAGUGCAGAAAGGGAGAGUGGAAUUACAUGUGUAGCGGAGAAAUGCGUAGAUAUAUGGAGGAACACCGGUGGCGAAAGCAGCUAUCUGGUCUGUAACUUACGCGGAGGCUCGAAAGCGUGGGGGGCGAACAGG